GAUGAACGCUGGCGGCGUGCUUAACACAUGCAAGUCGAACGGGGUAUCCGCAAGGGUAUCUAGUGGCGAAUGGGUGAGUAACACGUAGGGAUCUGCCCUCCAGUGGGGAAUAACGCCGCGAAAGCGGUGCUAAUACCGCACGUGACCGCCUUCGGGCGGGGAAAGCUGGGCAACCGGCGCUGGAGGAGGGACCUGCGGCCCA
rnacentral:rRNA from 1 species